rnacentral:rRNA from 1 species
UACGUAGGUGGCAAGCGUUGUCCGGAUUUACUGGGCGUAAAGAGCGCGCAGGCGGUCGGAUCAGUCGAAUGUGAAAGCCCCCGGCUCAACUGGGGAGGGUCAUUCGAUACUGUCCGACUCGAAGGCAGGAGAGGGAAGCGGAAUUCCCGGUGUAGUGGUGAAAUGCGUAGAUAUCGGGAGGAACAUCAGUGGCGAAGGCGGCUUUCUGGCCUGUUCUUGACGCUGAGGCGCGAAAGCUAGGGGAGCGAACGGG